rnacentral:rRNA from 1 species
CUUGUGCCGUGAGGUGUCGGGCUUAAAGUGGCCAAUAACGAGCGCAACCCUUUUUCUUUUAGUUGCCAUCAGGUAAUGCUGGGCACUCUGGAGAUACUGCCACCGUAAGGUGUGAGGAAGGUGGGGAUGACGUCAAAUCAGCACGGCCCUUACGUCCGGGGCUACACACGUGUUACAAUGGGGGGUACAGAGAGUCGGAUAUACGCAAGUAUGUUCUAAUCCUUAAAGCCUUCCUCAGUUCGGAUUGGGGUCUGCAACCCGACCCCAUGAAGCUGGAUUCGCUAGUAAUCGCGCAUCAGCCAUGGCGCGGUGAAUACGUUCCCGGGCCUUGUACACACCGCCCGUCAAGCCAUGAAAGCCGGGGGCGCUUGAAGUCCGUGACCGCAAGGAUCGGCCUAGAGCGAAACUGGUAAUUGGGGUUAAGUAAUAACAAGGUA